CCGACCUUCAACGUUGAAAUUUGGUUGAAAUUAGGUCAGGUGUUUGUUCAACGUUGAAACAACGUUGAAACAACGGUGAAUGGUAAACGGUUGAAAAAGGUUAAUAAAAUGCUUAAAAAUCAACGUUGAAAUUUGGUUGAAAUAAUGUCAGUUGUUUGUUCAACGUUGAUUCAACGUUGAAACAACGUUGAAACAACAGUGAAGUAAAUGGUUGCAGAGAGACAAUAAAAUAAUGUUUUAUAAUAUGUGAAUCAUUCAGAAAAAAAAUGUAAAAACUCAUUUUAUAAAAAUUGAUGAAAUUAUACAAAAAUGUAACAAAUAAUUGAAUAUACAGGUAGCGAGGUAAUCUCGCGAGAUUACACGAGACUGGACUGUUUUAACGGCUGUCUGGGAGAUCUUGCGUAUCACACGAGAAAAUGCUUCAGAGAAAGAAGAGAGUCCUUCAAAUUAGAAUAGUGAUGAUGAUCUUGUCAAUGCUGAGAUUUUCAUGCAUCAACAGCCACUACAUCUGGAUCAGAUUGAACAAGAAACAGACAGCAAGGGUUGUCAGGUCAGAAACAGAAUGACACACAAACACAAGAAACUUCACAGGCAUAUCAACAUGCAAUUUGAAGACGUGUGAUAAAAUACAGAGAGGUGAAGUAGUGUGUCUUUCCAGAUCCCCAAAUCAUUCCCCCUUAAAAGAUGAGCCUGAAGAGGAGAUUUGGGAAGAUGCUGUUUCAUAAGUCGCUUUGCCUGAUCACGUCGGGAUGUCUGCUAACAAGAUGCCUUGCUGGUCUGGGCGAGUAUAAAGGCUUACACAGACAGUCCAGAGGUUCUGAAGUCCAUCUUCGAUCUCAUUGGACGAUUUAAGGUGUAGAAACAUCUCAGCAACCUCAAGAGAAAUUGGAGGCAACUGUGCUAAAUUGCAGAUGAUGUUGCAAAGGGUCUGAAUAUGUAUAAUAUGCUGUCAUCGUAUUAAGUACAGCAUGAGCCAGAAUGGAUGGGUGGUGGUGGCCAUAAGAAGACUGUCAACUUAACCAACAACAAAAUUCAUAUUUGCAGUUUUUCUUGA